rnacentral:rRNA from 1 species
GUAGGGGUGCAAGCGUUGUUCGGAAUUACUGGGCGUAAAGCGCGCGUAGGCGGGGGUUUUUAAGUCGAUUGUGAAAUCCCAGGGCUCAACCCUGGACGUGCAGUCGAAACUGGAAAUCUUGAAUACUUGAGAGGUUGGCGGAAUUCCCGGUGUAGGAGUGAAAUCCGUAGAUAUCGGGAGGAACACCCGAGGCGAAGGCGGCCAACUGGUGAUGUAUUGACGCUGAGGCGCGAAAGCAUGGGGAGCAAACAGGAUUAGAUACCCUGGUAGUCCAUGCCGUAAACGAUGAUUACUAGGUGCUCGAAGAACUAACUCUUUGGGUACCGUAGCUCACGCAUUAAGUAAUCCGCCUGGGGAGUACGGUCGCAAGGCUA